rnacentral:rRNA from 2 species
AGCAGCCGCGGUAAUUCCAGCUCCAAUAGCGUAUAUUAAAGUUGUUGCAGUUAAAAAGCUCGUAGUUGAAUUUCGGGAUUGACGUAAUGGUCAUGCCUUAAGGGGUAUGAACUGUUACUGUUGAUUUCUCACCUUCUGGAGAAACUUGAUGUCCUUUAUUGGGUGUCUUGCGGAUCCAGGACCUUUACCUUGAAAAAAUUAGAGUGUUUAAAGCAGGCAUUUUUGCUCGAAUACAUUAGCAUGGAAUAAUAGAAUAGGACGGCAUGGUUCUAUUUUGUUGGUUUCUAGGAUCACCGUAAUGAUUAAUAGGGAUAGUUGGGGGCAUUAGUAUUCAAUUGUCAGAGGUGAAAUUCUUGGAUUUAUUGAAGACUAACUACUGCGAAAGCAUUUGCCAAGGAUGUUUUCAUUAAUCAAGAACGAAAGUUAGGGGAUCGAAGACGAUCAGAUACC